UACAGAGGGUGCAAGCGUUAAUCGGAAUUACUGGGCGUAAAGCGCGCGUAGGCGGCUAAGUAAGUCGGGUGUGAAAGCCCCGGGCUCAACCUGGGAACUGCAUUCGAUACUGUUUAGCUAGAGUAUGAGAGAGGGAGGUAGAAUUCCACGUGUAGCGGUGAAAUGCGUAGAUAUGUGGAGGAAUACCGGUGGCGAAGGCGGCCUCCUGGUUCAAUACUGACGCUGAGGUGCGAAAGCGUGGGGAGCAAAC
rnacentral:rRNA from 1 species